rnacentral:tRNA from 1 species
GGUCCAUGCGCUCAGUUGGUCAGAGCGCCAGCCUGUCACGCGGGAGGUCGCCGGUUCAAGUCCGGCGUGGAUCGCCA